rnacentral:rRNA from 1 species
GCAGCCUGAUGCAGCCAUGCCGCGUGUGUGAAGAAGGCCUUCGGGUUGUAAAGCACUUUCAGCAGUGAGGAAGGGURAUGAGUUAAUACCUYAUUAUCUUGACGUUAGCUGCAGAAGAAGCACCGGCUAACUCCGUGCCAGCAGCCGCGGUAAUACGGAGGGUGCGAGCGUUAAUCGGAAUUACUGGGCGUAAAGCGCAUGCAGGCGGUUUGUUAAGCAAGAUGUGAAAGCCCCGGGCUCAACCUGGGAACCGCAUUUUGAACUGGCAGGCUAGAGUCUUGUAGAGGGGGGUAGAAUUUCAGGUGUAGCGGUGAAAUGCGUAGAGAUCUGAAGGAAUACCGGUGGCGAAGGCGGCCCCCUGGACAAAGACUGACGCUCAGAUGCGAAAGCGUGGGGAGCAAACAGGAUUAGAUACCCUGGUAGUCCACGCUGUAAACGAUGUCUACUUGGAGGUUGCGGUCUUGAACUGUGGCUUUCGGAGCUAACGCGUUAAGUAGACCGCCUGGGGAGUACGGUCGCAAGAUUAAAACUCA